AAGAAAGCAAGGAGGCAGAAAAACCAGAAAAAAAUGCAGAAGGCUGCAGGAUUUUGUAUUUAGGAAGUCCCAGGACAGAGACACUCUUUUUCUGAGAGAAAGUGAAGAAGUAAUUGCCUGCUGAACCCAGCAGUGAGAUCUUGAGACAUUUCUGGAACACUGGUUUGGAGCCAGUGAUGGUAGACAAAAUGGUGAACAAGAUAGUGUUGCUCCCUUUAUAGAGAUGGCAUUCUAGGGAAGAAAGCCAAUGAUUAGCAAACAUAUGGAUAAGUAUUUCAGUUUGAAUCAAGAGCCGGGUAUGGUGGUGCACACCUGUA